rnacentral:tRNA from 1 species
UCCCUGUUGGCUCAGACAGUAAGGAGCCUGCUUGCAAUGCGGGAGACCCAGGUUCGAUCCCUGGGUUGGGAA